rnacentral:rRNA from 1 species
GUCUAUGGCCAUACCACCCUGAAUGUGCCUGAUCUCAUCUGAUCUUGGAAGCUAAGCAGGGUGAGGCCUGGUUAGUACUUGGAUGGGACAACCAUUUGGAAACAAAUUUGUACAAGAGAAGUAGAAAUCAUAUACA